CUGGGAUUACAGGCGUGAGCCCCCGCGCCCGGCUGAUAUUUCCUCUUUAAAACAUCUGGGCCUGGUAGAGUCAUGUCAAAUGAGUUGAAAACUUAAGUCCACACAAAAACCUGCACAUGGAUGUUUACAGCAGCUUUAUCUAUAAUUGCCAAAACUGGGAAGCAAGGGUUGGCGGGGGAUAGGUGUGCUGAUGGUGCAGGGGUGGGUGUGUGGGACUCCAUGUACUAUCUGCUUAAUUACUCUGUAAAAAGCGGUACUAAAAGAGUAAAAUCUACUUUAAAAAUAGAGAGAUGAGCAAGAGGGGAGGAAUGACCAGGUUUGCUGAAGAGAGAGGCUU
rnacentral:lncRNA from 1 species